rnacentral:misc_RNA from 1 species
GAUGAAGAACGCAGUGAAAUGCGAUAAGUAGUGUGAAUUGCAGAAUUCAGUGAAUCAUCGAAUCUUUGAACGCACAUUGCGCCCCCUGGUAUUCCGGGGGGCAUGCCUGUCCGAGCGUCAUUACAACCCUCAAGCUCAGCUUGGUGUUGGGCCCCGCCGCCCCGGCGGGCCCUAAAGUCAGUGGCGGUGCCGUCCGGCUCCGAGCGUAGUAAUUCUUCUCGCUCUGGAGGUCCGGUCGUGUGCUCGCCAGCAACCCCCAAUUUUUUUCAGGUUGACCUCGGAUCAGGUAGGGAUACCCGCUGAACUUAAGCAUAUCAAUAAGCGGAGGA